rnacentral:rRNA from 1 species
UACAGAGGCCUCGAGCGUUGUUCGGAAUUACUGGGCGUAAAGGGAAUGUAGGCGGUUGCGUAAGUCAGAUGUGAAAGCCCUGGGCUUAACCCGGGAAUGGCAUUUGAUACUGCGUAACUGGAGUGCGAGAGAGGAAAGCGGAAUUCCUGGUGUAGGGGUGAAAUCCGUAGAUAUCAGGAGGAAUACCGAUGGCGAAGGCAGCUUUCUGGCUCGUUACUGACGCUGAGAUUCGAAAGCAUGGGUAGCAAAC